AACUUUCGACAACGGAUCUCUUGGCUCUCGCAUCGAUGAAGAACGCAGCGAAAUGCGAUAAGUAUUGUGAAUUGCAGAAUUCAGUGAAUCAUCGAAUCUUUGAACGCACCUUGCGCCCCUUGGUAUUCCGUGAAGCAUGCCUGUUUGAGUGUCCCUAAAUUCUCAACCUUAUUGGCUUUUGCUGAUAAUGGAUUGGAUGUGGGGUACUCUUUUGCUGGCUUCUUCGCAGAUGUCAGCUCCCCUUAAAUGCAUUAGCUGGUGCCCCGCGUGGACCAUCUAUUGGUGUGAUAAUUAUCUACGCCGUGGAUGUCUGCAAUCAUAUGGGUUUUGCACUGCUUCUAACCGUCUGUUCAUUCGGACAAUACAUGACAAUUUGACCUCAAAUCAGGUAGGACUACCCGCUGAACUUAAGCAUAUCAAUAAGCGGAGGCU
rnacentral:misc_RNA from 1 species